rnacentral:rRNA from 1 species
GAUGAACGCUAGCGGCAGGCUUAACACAUGCAAGUCGAGGGGUAGAGGUUGCUUGCAACCUUGAGACCGGCGCACGGGUGCGUAACGCGUAUGCAACCUACCUUUUACAGAGGGAUAGCCCAGAGAAAUUUGGAUUAAUACCUCAUAGUAUAUAACCUUCGCAUGUUGGUUAUAUUAAAGUUCCAACGGUAAAAGAUGGGCAUGCGGCCGAUUAGCUUGUUGGUGCGGUAACGGCGCACCAAGGCGAUGAUCGGUAGCGGGUCUGAGAGGAUGAUCCGCCACACGGGGACUGAGACACGGCCCCGACUCCUACGGGAGGCAGCAGCAAGGGAUUUUCCGCAAUGGGGGCAACCCUGACGGAGCAACGCCGCGUGCGGGACGACGCCUCUUGGGGUGUAAACCGCUUUUGUACGGGAAGAAACACUCCUACGAGUAGGAGCUUGACGGUACCGUAAGAAUAAGGAUCGGCUAACUCCGUGCCAGCCGCCGCUGUAAGAC